rnacentral:rRNA from 1 species
GACGAACGCUGGCGGCGUGCCUAAUACAUGCAAGUAGGACGCAGUUGCGAACGGGUGAGUAACGCGUAGGUAACUGCCUAUUAGAGGGGGAUAACUAUUGGAAACGAUAGCUAAUACCGCAUACUAGUAGAUGGACCUGCGUUGUAUUAGCUAGUAGGUAGGGUAAUUGCCUACCUAGGAGACGAUGCAUAGCCGACCUGGGAGGGUGGUCUGCUACAAUGGGACUGGGACACGGCCCAGGCUCCUACGGGAGGCAGCAGUAGGGAAUCUUCGGCAAUGGGGGGAACCCUGACCGAGCAACGCCGCGGGAGUGAAGAAGGUUUUCGGAUCGUAAAGCUCUGUUGUUAAGGAAGCGGUACUUAACCAGAAAGGGACGGCUAACUACGUGCCAGCAGCCGCGGUAAUUC